UGACAGCAAUGCAUAUCUGGUUUCUCACCAUUAACUCAAAACAGUCAGAGGUGACAAGUCUGUAUGACAAAGCAAGAGAAAGAGACAGAGGUUGGAGUGCAGAAGAAAAGUACCAAGCUGAUGUCAAAUCACAAACUUCCAUCAGGAAAACAACAGCCAAGCAACAAUCAACAUUCUAACAAGCUUUAUUUGGUUAUAAAAUUCUUCAGGGAAAAUUCUAGAACUUCAGGAAUAUAACACCUUAAUGAGGCCUACUAGGUAGUGGUAUAUCAAAAUAUUGCUCUCCCUUCUUAUGCUUCUACUUAACUUUCUACACAUUUUGGCAAUGGUAGCUCAUGAAAGAAAACUGAGAGAUGGUUCAAGAGUUUCUUUAUGAGGCUGAGGUCCCUGGGCCCUGCAGAAGGACAGAUGUAAGAAAACUUGGCAAAGUUCACAGCUGCUCCAUGGCCACACAUUGAUGAAUGUAUCCCAUGUCCUUGGCUUCCUUACAUAGCAAUGCUACUGGCUGCCAAAGAAACAAAGUGAAGGGGAAUAAGAGACAGAAGGAAAUAGCCAAAUGGGAGCAGAGCUAAGAAUGCAAACACAGCUGAAUUGAUCCACUUCAAAUCUUCAUAAACAAUUCAACUGAGGAUGAAAGCAGGAAUCCAGCAGCACAUCAAAAAGCUAAUCCACCACGAAC
rnacentral:lncRNA from 1 species